rnacentral:lncRNA from 1 species
AGGGUUGAGAUAAACACUCCUCCCAUUAAGUGGUCAUGGAAAGAAAACCUAGUAGAGUGAUAGAUGUUGUGGUGUGGUGGUCUGUGACUCCAAAUUAACACCGGAAGUUGUAUUCUAAUUUUGGUUCUAAGAGCCAUUUGGUUUAGGUUGAGACAAUCUCCAUACCAACAGUCUAACCUUGAGCAGAAUUCUGUGGUGAACCUCUGAGCAUUUGAAAAGCUUAGAAAGACUAAAGAGUCUGGAAAUGAAACUGUGAUCCUUUGCCCCGAGGUCUCUUAGGCCACUUCCCACCCUUCAGUCUGGGCCCUAAGAGAAACAUCUUAGAAAGAAAACACGUACGUUCAAAGACCUGAAGGAGGAGAACAAGUGUGCUCAGGGGGCCAAGUGAACUACAGAUUAUCCCAAGCAGGACAAAGGAAAUGACUAAAUAACUCUACACAUACAGAAGGAACCAGCACCCGAGACACGAGUCAUUAAGAAAGCUAUUAAUACAAUAAAAUAUUGUCCUUAAUGACUACUCUACAAUAUUUUGUUUUUUGGAGUCUUGGAACAGCAGUUUCAAUCAUAUUGCAAAGAGGACCAUGAAGAUCUCUGUGUCCUAAAGUUUAGCAUUCCAUGAUCUUUGGAUCAUAUACAAAUGACUUUGUGAUUUUUGUGCUAUUAAUAUUAUGGAAAUUAGCUAAUAUAGAGAUUUUUAAUUUGCCAUAUCUAUUUUCUACAUUAAACGCUUAAGAUUACAUUUACUAUGAAAUUGUCCUUAAAAUUAAAUAUAAAUGACAAUAUAAUGUUAAUUCAAGCUAUAUGAUUUUCAGCAACCAUACAAAACAAUAAGCACCUAAAUGAGAACUAUUAAAAAAUUGAUUCAGGGAAACACUGAUUUAAAGCCAGUCAUUCUUUGCAGUUACCCAUUUAAAUCUGGAAGCCUCAAGCGUUCUAACAACAGAUCUAAUGAAAGUAUUCGAUGUGUUAUUUAGUUGCAGCAUACAGAGUGUUCACAAGACACAAAGAACACUUUGAUUAUACUAAUAACAUUUGCUAAAAACUAUUGUGGAAGCAGAACAUGGAUCCGUUCCUGCUUUGGAUCAUUUAGUUCAUUUUUAAAUGUGUCCACUGCCUGGGAACUUGCAGAGAUGACAGGCUGUAUGGUGAGGUACACAGGGAAGUCGGUGUGUUUGUUCUGUGGUGAACAGCCCCCAAGUAAAGGUCCAGGAUUUAUGGCCACUCUAUCAUAUCUAGUAUCCACUGAACAAGGCAGAAUAUUUUCCCUCUGAUCUUUAGACUUUUUAAUGGGCAUUGAUCAUUCUUUUUGUUGGCCUACCAUAUGACGCCCCUUCCCCUGUUGGGGAGUUCCUCUACCUUCAUCUUCAGAUGGGGAGCCGUGUUCUAUUUGCUUCCCUAAGAUCUCAUACAAUACGAAGGCAGGCAGUGACCCUAGCCCCCACCUCUCAGACACACCCACCACAGGCUUCUAAUUGAGAGAGAAGGAAGCAAAGAAACAGGGACC